GUUGAUUUGCCAUACUUACCUGGGUGAUCACACAGAGAGGAGGUUAUGUGGAGCAGAGCAGAGAAGCAGAGCAGAUCCCAACACACUACCGCCCAUCGAGGAGGGAGAAGACACACUGAAGUCUGUCGACAGCCAGGAGCAUUUAGCUGUUCCUGAAGAAAAGCCCUGGUUGGACAUGAAUUCGUGGCCAGGCCGGUGCCAGAGUCCAAUCUCCCCUCGGUGGACGAAGAUUGACGGGAUCACGAACAACUGCUGUCCAGAAAACGCUUGAACCGAAUCGCUGAGGAUGUACGCCUGCCUUUGGUGUGGGCAGUGUGGACCAAUUCCCGCUCAGUGAUGGUGUCUAUCUGCUCUGUGACUGGCGAUCUGUUCAGGGUGUUGUCCGC